rnacentral:rRNA from 1 species
UACGAAGGGGGCUAGCGUUGCUCGGAAUCGACUGGGCGUAAAGCGCACGUAGGCGGACUCUUAAGUCGGUGGUGGAAACUCCGUGGAGCUCAACUCCAGAACUGCCUUCGAUACUGGAGAGUCUCGAGUCCGGGAGAGGUGAGUGGAACUAGCGAGUGUAGAGGUGAAAGUUCGUAGAUAUUCGCGAAGAACGACCCAGUGGCGAAGGCGGCUCACUGGCCCGGUACGUGACG